rnacentral:tRNA from 1 species
GGCCCCGUAGCUCAAUGGGAGAGCGCCCUACCGACGGUCGGGGGUGCCGGUUCGAUUCCGGCCGGGGUCG